UAUGUGAUCGUCUCUCGCAUAUCAAUAAGCGGAGGAAAAGAAACUAACAAGGAUUCCCCUAGUAACGGCGAGUGAAGCGGGAAGAGCUCAAAUUUGAAAUCUUAAAGGGUUUCCCUUUACGAAUUGUAGUUUAAAGAAGUGUUUUCUGUUGAGGUUUUGGUAAAAGUUCUUUGGAAUAGGACAUCAUAGAGGGUGAGAAUCCCGUAUUUGACCUUUACUUUCAACUUUGUGAUACACUUUCAAAGAGUCGGAUUGUUUGGGAAUGCAGUCCAAAAUGGGUGGUAAAUUUCAUCUAAAGCUAAAUAUUGGCGAGAGACCGAUAGCGAACAAGUACCGUGAGGGAAAGAUGAAAAGAACUUUGAAAAGAGAGUUAAACAGUACGUGAAAUUGUCAAAAGGGAAGCGUUUGACACCAGUGUUGUUUUUCUGAAAAUCAAUUAAAGAACUGUUUAUGCUAAGUUGUUUAGACUUUAUCAGCUAUACUGUUUAGUUUUGAGCUUUUCUUUAAUGCACUUUUCAGUUAACAAGUCAACAUCAAUUUCUUUUGCUGUAAAAAAGCUUGAGGAAGGUGGCUUGAGAUUCGUCUUAAGUGUUUAUAGCCUCUUGCCUAUGCAGUCGGAGAGAUUGAGGUCUGCAGCGUAGAUCCUUCGGGGCUAAAUGCAUUUGUGCUAAGUUAUAGCAUUUUAUAGACAACUUGUUGACUAUGAUUUGUCUUGUAGCUUACUCGCUUAUGUUAUUUUACCUACGCUUAGGAUGUUGAUAUGCAUGACUGAUAU
rnacentral:rRNA from 1 species